rnacentral:rRNA from 1 species
UACGUAGGGUGCGAGCGUUAAUCGGAAUUACUGGGCGUAAAGCGUGCGCAGGCGGCGCGUUAAGACAGGUGUGAAAGCCCCGAGCUUAACUUGGGAAUUGCGCUUGUGACUGGCGUGCUGGAGUGUGGCAGAGGGAGGUGGAAUUCCCGGUGUAGCAGUGAAAUGCGUAGAGAUCGGGAGGAACACCAGUGGCGAAGGCGGCCUUCUGGACCAAUACUGACGCUCAUGCACGAAAGCGUGGGGAGCAAACAGG